rnacentral:ribozyme from 11 species
GAUUCAAACGUGAAUGCAUUUUGAAAAUAACUUUAUUCACAUUUUACAUACUUUUGUGACCUGGCGAACACGAACAAUAAAGAUAACAGGUUCGAUGUUACCAACGGAGCAUCGACAUUGGACGAGAGAGGGGGUUUUAGUUCAAGGUUUCGGGAAGGCAUCUAUUGGAGAGA